AGCGAACGCUGGCGGCAGGCCUAACACAUGCAAGUCGAACGAAGUCUUCGGACUUAGUGGCGGACGGGUGAGUCACACGUGGGAACGUACCUUUUGGUUCGGCACACCUCAGGGAAACUUGAGCUAAUACCGGAUGAGCACUUAGGGGGAAAGAUUUAUCGCCGAAAGAGCGGCCCGCGUUAGAUUAGCUAGUUGGUGAGGUAAAGGCUCACCAAGGCUACGAUCUAUAGCUGGUCUGAGAGGAUGAUCAGCCACACUGGGACUGAGACACGGCCCAGACUCCUACGGGAGGCAGCAGUGGGGAAUCUUGCGCAAUGGGCGAAAGCCUGACGCAGCCAUGCCGCGUGAAUGAUGAAGGUCUUAGGAUUGUAAAAUUCUUUUACCAGGGACGAUAAUGACGGUACCUGGAGAAAAAGCCCCGGCUAACUUCGUGCCAGCCGCCGCAGUAAAAC
rnacentral:rRNA from 1 species